GAUGAACGCUGGCGGCGUGCCUAAUACAUGCAAGUCGAGCGAACAGAUGAGGAGCUUGCUCCUCUGACGUUAGCGGCGGACGGGUGAGUAACACGUGGAUAACCUACCUAUAAGACUGGGAUAACUUCGGGAAACCGGAGCUAAUACCGGAUAAUAUAUUGAACCGCAUGGUUCAAUAGUGAAAGACGGUUUUGCUGUCACUUAUAGAUGGAUCCGCGCCGCAUUAGCUAGUUGGUAAGGUAACGGCUUACCAAGGCAACGAUGCGUAGCCGACCUGAGAGGGUGAUCGGCCACACUGGAACUGAGACACGGUCCAGACUCCUACGGGAGGCAGCAGUAGGGAAUCUUCCGCAAUGGGCGAAAGCCUGACGGAGCAACGCCGCGUGAGUGAUGAAGGUCUUCGGAUCGUAAAACUCUGCUAUUGGGGAAGAACAAAUGUGCAAGUAACUAUGCACGUCUUGACGGUACCUAAUCAGAAAGCCACGGCUAACUACGUG
rnacentral:rRNA from 1 species